rnacentral:piRNA from 1 species
UGACAUAUUUUUGUUCCUCUGCACUUGAGC